AGCGGAGGAAAAGAAACCAACAGGGAUUGCCUCAGUAACGGCGAGUGAAGCGGCAAAAGCUCAAAUUUUAAAGCUGGCAUCUUCGGUGCCCGCGUUGUAAUUUUGUGAGGCAUCUCCGGGUAGGGCGCCAGCCUAAGUUCCUUGGAACAGGACGUCACAGAGGGUGAGAAUCCCGUGCUUGGCUGGCUGUCCCCGCCUAUGUGGGGUGUCUUCGACGAGUCGAGUUGUUUGGGAAUGCAGCUCAAAAUGGGUGGUAAAUUUCAUCUAAAGCUAAAUAUUGGUGGGAGACCGAUAGCGCACAAGUAGAGUGAUCGAAAGAUGAAAAGCACUUUGAAAAUAGAGUUAAAAAGUACGUGAAAUUGUUGAAAGGGAAGCGCUUGAGACCAGACUUCGGUCGGGGGUGAUCAGCCGUUCUUCUGGACGGUGCACUUGCCCCCUUCCGGGCCAGCAUCGGUUGAGGCGGCGGGAUAAAUGCUCCGGGAAUGUGGCUCCUCUCGGGGAGUGUUAUAGCCCGGGAGAAUGCCGCCAGCCUCGACCGAGGACCGCGCCCGCAAGGGCUAGGAUGCUUGGCAUAAUGGUCUUCAGCGACCCGUCU
rnacentral:rRNA from 1 species